rnacentral:rRNA from 1 species
AGUGAACGCUGGCGGUAGGCCUAACACAUGCAAGUCGAACGGCAGCACAGUAAGAGCUUGCUCUUACGGGUGGCGAGUGGCGGACGGGUGAGGAAUACAUCGGAAUCUACUUUUUCGUGGGGGAUCACGUAGGGAAACUUACGCUAAUACCGCAUACGACCUACGGGUGAAAGCAGGGGAUCUUCGGACCUUGCGCGAUUGAAUGAGACGCUGUCGGAUUAGCUAGUUGGCGGGGUAAAGGCCCACCAAGGCGACGAUCCGUAGCUGGUCUGAGAGGAUGAACGGCCACACUGGGUAGGAAACACGCCCCAGACUCCAAGGGGUGGCAGCAGGGGGGAAUAUUGAACAAGGGACGAAAGCCUGAACCGACCAUACCGCGGGGGUGAAGAAGGCCUUCGGGUUUAAAACCCCUUUUGUUGAAAAAGAAGAGCAGCAGGUGAAUACCCCGCGUUUCUGAGGGUACCCAAAAAAUAAGCCCCGGCUAACUUCGUC